rnacentral:rRNA from 1 species
UACGAAGGGGGCUAGCGUUGCUCGGAAUCACUGGGCGUAAAGGGUGCGUAGGCGGGUCUUUAAGUCAGGGGUGAAAUCCUGGAGCUCAACUCCAGAACUGCCUUUGAUACUGAGGAUCUUGAGUUCGGGAGAGGUGAGUGGAACUGCGAGUGUAGAGGUGAAAUUCGUAGAUAUUCGCAAGGACACCAGUGGCGAAGGCGGCUCACUGGCCCGGUACUGACGCUGAGGCACGAAAGCGUGGGGAGCAAACAGG